rnacentral:lncRNA from 1 species
GAUAUGGAGACUUCAAUGAUUUUAAUCUAGAGGAUGCGCUGAAAGAAACUUCCUGAGUAAAGCGUGACUCAAACAAACAAGUCCACCAAGCAAACACAAGUGGUCGGCCGUGCACCACACUCACAAUCUUGCCUUCAGAAAAGUACAUGCAUAUGAGACUAGCUGCACCUCCAUCUACCUAGAGAGGGGACCACAUCACCACUACUACAACGAGAAGGCCAGGAACAACUAGAGCACCGUCAAAUCCUAUGGAACUUGAUGGGUUUGACUUGGAAGAUGCCUUGGAUGAUCAGAACGAUCUAGAUGGCCCCAAAAAGCCAAGUACAGGAGAAGGAGGAGGUUGGUCAGACAAGGUUCUCGAAGAUAUCUUGGGAGGCGGGGGAUACAAACCUGACAAGAAUAAAGGUAGGAAUGUUGCUUUGUCUGGCAACACAUGGAUUCUCCUUAAAGUGCUAACCAUCCGGCCGCCAGGUAAACAUGUCACUCUCAGCCUCUGGCAAAUCAGGCUUCAACAUGUGCACCUGUCAUGUGCAGUGGGCUCUCAUUCUUGUGGGUGGGGGCUCAUUUGUGAGCCAUCCUGGGAUGCUACCCAUUUGCUCUGUUGCUCUUUAAGCCUGAGCUGGUGUCCCCAC